rfam:Naumovozyma castellii CBS 4309 chromosome 2, complete genome
GCUCGUGUAGCUCAGUGGUUAGAGCUUCGUGCUUAUAGUGGCAUUCGGAAAUUCCGAAGCUUUACUGUACAAAGCGGUCUUCAUUGACCGGCUAAGCAACGCGACCGUCGUGGGUUCAAACCCCACCUCGAGCA